rnacentral:lncRNA from 1 species
GUCUCUGCCUGCUGGGAUUUUAAGGCCUGCUGGGUACUUAACGAUUUAUCGCCGGUAACAUUGCAUGUUGAUAGAUUGACUUUUUAUUUUGUUUUUUUUUUUUUUUUUUUUUUUUUUUUUUUUUUUCUUUUUCCAAUGUACCCACUUCUUAAGAAAUGAUGGCAGUGUUGCAAUGUUACGUCCAACUAGCCAUGCUGUAGGAGAAUGAUGGAUUUUGGAAUCGAUUAACUUGCUCCUCAUGUAACAUUACCCUGCUUCAGAAAUGUUUUGUAUUUUGAUAUAAAUAAACAUUUGCUAAAAAAAAAAAAAAGAAGAAAAGAAAACGUGAAGUUCCGUUGCUGACAUUGAUUUGGGCCGGGGUUCUGGGGAGGGAUGGGGGUGUUCGCAGGGAGCAGGGGGAUGCUUCUCCCUUGGGGUCGGGGAGAAUGCUCUCUCCCUGUUGUUCCUGGAACCUCUGGGUGCUGGAGCUCUGACCCAACAAUGCUGGGAGUGCUGGUGGUGCCGCGGGCUGCCCCAGGCAGCAGGGUGCCCAGGAUGAUCGUGUCCUUAUGGAUGGCAUUCAUCGCGGCUCGGAAAGGCAGAAGCGUGCAUCCAGCCGCCGAUGACACAUCAGACGGCCCGGCGAUGGAGUUUGAUGCAUUUCCCAUGGGCGAAGAGCAGAUCUCCCGGUUAUUGAGGAGGAUGCUGGACAUGUGGACGAGGCUGUGGGCAGGGCAGGGGGCAGAGCCACGGGCGGAGCCACGGGCAAAUGAGCAAGCAGAGCGCACACCAUCUCCUCCAGCCUCCCCGCAUCCCAGCAGCCCGAGCUCCCAGGAUGAUGCCAGCUUAGGUGAGCAGAUGUCUGAGGAGGUGUUCCUGAAGGACACGGUCCACAUCUUCAGGUGGAGCAAGGCUCGUCGUAUGAAUCGCGUCUCGAGCAUGGUGGAGGACGAGAAGACAGAGAACAGGCUGGAGCAAACACAAACCAACACGCCCCAGCUGCUGCUCCAGGACAUGCCAGACCUCACCAUGAAUACCAUGAUGGAUGCUACAACAGGCACCCUGACGGACAUCAUGACAGACACGGAUAACCAGUUCAACAUAACCAGCGAGGACUAGGAGGUCGCUCUUCUCCUCCCCUUUCCCGGCUGUGUCUGAAGCUCUUCCCACCUCUCCAGAACGGAUCUGCCCCAGGAAAUAAAAGGUUUCAUGCACCAACGGGGUUGGGUGAG